rnacentral:rRNA from 1 species
GACGAACGCUGGCGGCGUGCUUAACACAUGCAAGUCGAGCGGUAAGGGACCCUUUGGGGUACACGAGCGGCGAACGGGUGAGUAACACGUGAGUAAUCUGCCUUUGGCUUGGGAAUAACUUCGGGAAAUCGGGGCUAAUGCCUGAUGUUUACUGUCUGCUGCAUGGUGGGUGGUGGAAAGAUUUUUUGGCCAGGGAUGAGCUCGCGGUCUAUCAGCUUGUUGGU